GGGGCGGUAGCUCAGUAGAGAGAGCGCUGCAUUUGCACUGCAGAGGUCGGGGGUUUGAUUCCCUCUCGCUCCACCA
rnacentral:tRNA from 1 species